rnacentral:rRNA from 1 species
UACGGGAGGGGCUAGCGCUGUUCGGAAUUACUGGGAGUAAAAAGGGCGUAGGCGGCUUACCAAGUUGGGGGUGAAAUCCCGGAGCUCAACUCCGGAACUGCCUUCAAAACUGGUAGGCUCGAGUCCGGAAGAGGGGCGUGGAAUUCCCAGUGUAGAGGUGAAAUUCGUAGAUAUUGGGAAGAACACCGGUGGCGAAGGCGGCGCCCUGGUCCGGUACUGACGCUGAGGCGCGAAAGCGUGGGGAGCAAACAGG